AUAAAAUAUUUAAACAUCAUAUACAGGGGUUGGACAAAAUAAUGGAAACACCUAACAUUUUGGCAUCAUAAUCAUUGAACAUAAUUGUUAAAAAAUGGCAUGAAGAGCAUUCUAAUGAAGUUGAGCAUCUCAUAUGGCCGGCACAAUCCCCAGACCUCAACAUUAUUGAGCAUUUAUCGUCAGUUCAGCCUGCUAAAAUGUGAUGCAAAAUAUCUUUCGAGACAACAAGACAAGUUCAGUAACAAUCAAUCUAGUGCCCUGAGAAUGAAAUGACCUGGAUGAAUGAGAAUAAUCACUGGCAAGUUUACCUGCGCUGCACAAAAAGCUUUUCAGUAUUCUUCAGUUGCACAAUUUUUUUCAAGCCCUACAAUCUCUGUCUGCUUAAUCUAAUUGAAUUGUAACUACAGUAUGUAUUACAUUUCUAUUUGCCACGAGGUUAACGGGCUGCCUCCUCCAACUCCUGUCUUUCUUUUCCAAUAAUUGGAUCUAGCUGAGCUUGCAUGAAGUGCUAAAUGACUUAGCAGGUUUUUAGAGACAAGUAAUACAGUGAGUGAAGGCAGAGGUUAUUUGUGCAUGUGCACCAAUGCGUGCACAAGGAAUCGGUUUGUUUUUAGAGCAAUAUGUCACUAAUGUAUUUUGAAAUAUAAAGUGACUUUGUUCCGUGGGACUGCUAAUAAUGUCCUAUUUCAGCUGCAUAGCGAGCAAGGUUAAGAACAUAAAAAACUCACAAAAUGGCUGAUUUAUAUUAAGUGGAUGAAGGUAACCUAGUUCAGAAUUCAAUUAUUUCUACUGCUUAUGCAUUGGAUGGGUGCGUGACUUGUAAGGCUGUAAAAACUAGUCAAUUUAUAAAUUAACUCAUUUGAUAAUUGAUUUUUGCCGGCAGCUAUGAGCAGUCCUGUUUGUGUGUAAUGUGAGACUGGGCGCACGCACCAGAGAUUAGAGCAAGAGAGAGAGAGAGUUCACUGCUACACUCAGGUUUUAGUCUUUACGCGAGAGUUAGAUUGUCUUGAGUUGUAUGCGUUGUCAGAGUGAGUAAAUGAAGCAAAUUGAAUUGUUUGUAUUCUGUGAUGAGACGUUACUACAUAGCAUGGAGCGCUAAGCUAGUUAACGAUUAUGCUAAUCAGUGUCUUAAGUGUCUGUUGUGUUUUUGUUUUGGAAAGCAUAUUAGCACUUGAGUUGUUGUUAGAUCGUGUAGGAAUCUGACCUUUUGCCAGAAUAACACCGGCCGAAACGCAAGAACCGCGCUAGCGCAAUUCCAAUGACCCGGGCCGACGGAAUUCCAACAACCCGGCCAAAAGGCCAAACUCCGCGCGUUCACCUUAGUCUUAGCUACAUGUACUGACUCCAUUUUAAAAGCUGGGGAAAAGGUUUUAAAACACAAUUUGACAAUUUAUUCCAAGUCGGCAGCAAUCAUACAGCACAGAGAAACCCAGGGGAGGAGGCAAACUGGAUCCAGGGUCACUAUAUCACAAGUCGAUAAAAGAUUCCCGAGAAAAAUGACGACGAUUAGUCGACAAUCCAGUCUUUUAAAGGCUCUGGUGAGGCGGGCUGUGGUCUGGAAGAAGGGUGUGUUUGGGCGUUGUUUAGAAUUAUUGUCUGUUGUACAGGGGAAUUCGGGCGUUACUCUUGUCAGGGCAACGAGAGUUAAGGAUUUUUCCAUCUUCAGCACCACGUGAGUGCUGAGUGUUCACUUCUCGGUGGCAGGUUCCUCUGUAUCAGAUGUUCCUUGUUAGGUUUUGUGUUGGUUCCCUCAUAGUGUGUCCCUGUGAUUGCCCAUUGAUUUCACCUGUUAUGGCUGCUCCUUGGGUAUCCUCCAAUCUACAUCCUCCUAUGUCACCCUAUCAUGUCCUAUGUCAUCCUAUGUGUGUAUAUAAACUCAAGUUUCUGUUCACUCCUUGUUGCAUCAUUGUCAAUGUCGAUGUCAAGUCCUGUCCAAGCCCUCGUGUACCAGUCCCUCCGAUUAAGUAAGCUUUGUUUGAACAUUGCCUUUUUGAUCCCCAGUCCUUUUAGUUGUACUUUGUGUUUUUGUUCAUUAUUAUUAAAACAUUUUUUGAGUUCACCGCCACCUGCCUUGCUGUGUUUUUGUUUCCCUGCAUUUGGUUCCACAUCACCUACCGUGACAGUUCCUCGUGGCAGGACAAGACGUCCCGCCAUUUGUUCUGGACUGUCCAGAAGAGCUGGUUGCGAGAUUUGAUGGUGCAGGCGUGGGCUUGUAGAUGUCUUGCCUUUCACGUGCUUGUCAGUGUCAAUCUUGCUCAGUCAGCUGCAUGAAGCGCAUUGGGCUUCUGUGGUCAGAAGGCGUCCUGUAUCUGUUUUGCCCUUAUCUGCCCGUUGUCUUGGCACUGCAAAUUCUAAUCAUUUCAAGUCCAACUGUUCAUAAUAUCAAAUAUAUUCUGGUUAUUCUUCUUUAACUAUGAUAUAUAAGAGUGUGACAAUAUCUCGAUACAGCGAUAUAUCGCGAUAUUUUUCAACCCGAUUGUUUAUCGAUAUGCUCCCGCCAAGUAUCGAUACUUUUAUUUAACAUAUUGGCCAUACAAUGGAGUAUGGAUGCUGUAAACUCCUCAGUGUUUGUUGAGCAAUUCCUUGGCGGUCCACUAGGGGCGCUCGGGAGUGGCGGUGAAGGUAAAGUGCGCACAAGUCGUCUAGAGAAGAAGAGAGAAGGCUCCAAGUGGGUUGAAAAAAUAAAAAAGCUUCGUGAGAAUGGUGGAGGAAAAAAUGAGAAAAUAUUGCUACAAAUCAUACAUGGGGACACACUUCAGAUUUUACACCAACCAGAAAGGAAGUAAGGUGAACAAGGACUUUGCUGUAUGCAAGAACUGUCUAACAAAAAUAAGGUCCACUGGGAGCUGGUGACGAGUUGCACACCCGGAUUUCCCCAAGAGAGUCUGGCUGCAGCCUCUCGAUUUCUUCACUGCUUUGCUUUCAUCACUUGAGGUGAGGAAGAAUGUGACUGACCAAGUCUGACAUCUCAAAUGCUGAAGCAGAUAGUGGAAAUGCUCAAACCAACGCUUUUGGCAACAAAGGUCAUAUAUGAAGAAAAGACCCACCAAUUUUAUCAUUGCCCCUCUCCAAGCUCAACUGCUGACUGACACCUACAGCACUGAUGUUUU